AAUGAGAACCAGGUGCUCCGCAGGGCGCAGCUUUAUACGACCGCAGAGGUCGAACCCUGAACAGUUGGGGCAAGUAUGGACAAAACAUUCAAGCAUGAUACAGCUCUGAAUUUGGAUUGUGAUCAAAUUUUUGACAUUACAUGGGUUUUUUUUACACAAAACAAAUGUCAAGAUUUUACAAAUCAAUUAAAGAUUUCUUCUUCAAACUUUUUAAAUCUAAAAUUAAAUAGUUGACACAGCAUAGGUUUCUGACACAGAAUGAAUGUGGUCUAAUGAACUUAAAAGUUUUUUUUGCCUUUGAGCAAUUCACUAUGCUGUUGAAUAUUAAUCCUCUCAAAAAAUGUUUGAAGAAAUUUUCUUUUUAUUAUGAAAUCUGAAAUGAGAAAAAUUUAAACCCCCCCCUUUUUUUCACAUCCCCGUUUCCCUUUUUCCAAAACUGAUAUCAAUUCAAAUUUCUAAUGGAGUUUGCAACAAUAACUACUCU
rnacentral:lncRNA from 1 species